UGGGGAAUAUUGCACAAUGGGCGCAAGCCUGAUGCAGCCAUGCCGCGUGUAUGAAGAAGGCCUUCGGGUUGUAAAGUACUUUCAGUCGGGAGGAAGGUGGUAAGGUUAAUAACCUUAUCAAUUGACGUUACCGACAGAAGAAGCACCGGCUAACUCCGUGCCAGCAGCCGCGGUAAUACGGAGGGUGCAAGCGUUAAUCGGAAUUACUGGGCGUAAAGCGCACGCAGGCGGUCUGUCAAGUCGGAUGUGAAAUCCCCGGGCUCAACCUGGGAACUGCAUUCGAAACUGGCAGGCUCGAGUCUUGUAGAGUGGGGUAGAAUUCCAGGUGUAGCGGUGAAAUGCGUAGAGAUCUGGAGGAAUACCGGUGGCGAAGGCGGCCCCCUGGACAAAGACUGACGCUCAGGUGCGAAAGCGUGGGGAGCAAACAGG
rnacentral:rRNA from 1 species